UACAGAGGGUGCGAGCGUUAAUCGGAAUUACUGGGCGUAAAGCGUGCGUAGACGGUAGCGUAAGUCAGAUGUGAAAGCCCCGGGCUCAACCUGGGAACUGCAUUUGAGACUGCUCUGCUCGGGUGCGGAAGAGGGAAGCGGAAUUUCCGGUGUAGCGGUGAAAUGCGUAGAUAUCGGAAGGAACACCAGUGGCGAAAGCGGCUUCCUGGUCCAGCACCGACGUCAGGCACGAAAGCGUGGGGAGCAAACAGG
rnacentral:rRNA from 1 species